rnacentral:rRNA from 1 species
UGGGGAAUNNUCCGCAAUGGACGAAAGUCUGACGGAGCAACGCCGCGUGAGUGAUGACGGCCUUCGGGUUGUAAAGCUCUGUUAAUCGGGACGAAUGGUUCUUGUGCGAAUAGUGCGAGGAUUUGACGGUACCGGAAUAGAAAGCCACGGCUAACUACGUGCCAGCAGCCGCGGUAAUACGUAGGUGGCAAGCGUUGUCCGGAAUUAUUGGGCGUAAAGCGCGCGCAGGCGGAUUGGUCAGUCUGUCUUAAAAGUUCGGGGCUUAACCCCGUGAUGGGAUGGAAACUGCCAAUCUAGAGUAUCGGAGAGGAAAGUGGAAUUCCUAGUGUAGCGGUGAAAUGCGUAGAUAUUAGGAAGAACACCAGUGGCGAAGGCGACUUUCUGGACGAAAACUGACGCUGAGGCGCGAAAGCCAGGGGAGCGAACGGGAUUAGAUACCCCGGUAGUCCUGGCCGUAAACGAUGGGUACUAGGUGUAGGAGGUAUCGACCCCUUCUGUGCCGGAGUUAACGCAAUAAGUACCCCGCCUGGGGAGUACGACCGCAAGGUUG